AAUCAGUAUCUUCUCUUCACUACAGGGAC
rnacentral:piRNA from 1 species